rnacentral:rRNA from 1 species
AAAUCAGAAUGUUGCGGUGAAUACGUUCCCGGGCCUUGUACACACCGCCCGUCACACCAUGGGAGUGGGUUGCACCAGAAGUAGAUAGCUUAACCUUCGGGAGGGCGUUUACCACGGUGUGAUUCAUGACUGGGGUGAAGUCGUAACAAGGUAACCCUAGGGGAACCUGGGGUUGGAUCACCUCCUUACCUUAAUGA